UACGUAGGUGGCAAGCGUUGUCCGGAUUUAUUGGGCGUAAAGCGCGCGCAGGUGGUUCGUUGCGUCCGAGGUGAAAUCUCCCGGCUCAACUGGGAGGGGUCUUCGGAUACGGGCGGACUUGAGGAGAGCAGAGGUAGGCGGAAUGCUGGGUGUAGUGGUGAAAUGCGCGAUAUCAGGCGGAACACCGUGGCGAAGGCGGGUCCUCUGGGCCG
rnacentral:rRNA from 1 species